rnacentral:lncRNA from 1 species
CAUUUCUAUAAUUUUAUUUCAGUAUAAACAGAUAAUAAUCAUUAACAAAACUUAUAACAUUCUGCUUAUACAGUAUCUGGAAUAUUUCAGUAUAAACAGAUAAUAAUCAUUAACAAAACUUAUAACAUUCUGCUUAUACAGUAUCUAUAUCUCUGCACUUAAUCAUCAAAGGUUACAUAGUUCAUAUUAUUGCAUCUUAUACAUUCAGUUAUCUCAAAGAUUUAUGCAAAACGUAUUUUAAGAGGUAAAAUAUGCAAAACAAUACUCAGUAACUAAAAUUUACGAGUUUAUUUGAUUUUGAAAGAACAUUUCAUUUUAACUGCUGAAUAUAAACCA